rnacentral:rRNA from 1 species
UUUGAUCCUGGCUCAGAACGAACGCUGGCGGCAGGCUUAACACAUGCAAGUCGAGCGCCCCGCAAGGGGAGCGGCAGACGGGUGAGUAACGCGUGGGAAUCUACCCUUUUCUACGGAAUAACGCAUGGAAACGUGUGCUAAUACCGUAUGAGCCCUUCGGGGGAAAGAUUUAUCGGGAAAGGAUGAGCCCGCGUUGGAUUAGCUAGUUGGUGGGGUAAAGGCCUACCAAGGCGACGAUCCAUAGCUGGUCUGAGAGGAUGAUCAGCCACAUUGGGACUGAGACACGGCCCAAACUCCUACGGGAGGCAGCAGUGGGGAAUAUUGGACAAUGGGCGCAAGCCUGAUCCAGCCAUGCCGCGUGAGUGAUGAAGGCCCUAGGGUUGUAAAGCUCUUUCACCGGUGAAGAUAAUGA